UAUUUAACAAUUUAUAAGUCGCUCUGGAUAAGAGCGUCUGCUAAAUGACUUAAA
rfam:Salmo salar isolate Sally breed double haploid chromosome ssa09, whole genome shotgun sequence.